GCAAAGGGUACGCGCAUGAGAAAUAUUCGACGCGGACGCGACAUUGAGCGCGAGUGCGCUCACGGGCACGCGCUCACGGACAUACACAGAAAAAGAGAAAGCGAGAGAGGCGAGGAGUGUGUGCGGCGGCCUCGCGCUUAUAAUGGCUGCCAAGAAAAGCAGAGCUGAGGAAAAUCAAUUACAUUGGGAAUAAAAUCGUGCACAGGUGAGGAAGAAGAGGAUGGUGAGCAGUCAAGCCAAGUACGAGCUUAUCCAGGAGGUGGGCAGGGGCAGUUACGGUGUGGUAUACGAGGCAGCUGUACGGCAGACUGGUGCUCGUGUGGCUGUGAAGAAGAUCCGCUGUCACUCCCCGGAGAAUGUUGAGCUGGCCUUGAGGGAAUUCUGGGCCCUGAGCAGUAUCCAGAGCCAGCAUCCCAACGUCAUCCACCUGGAGGAAUGCGUUCUCCAGAGAGACGGUCUCGCCCAGAGAAUGAGCCACGGCUCCAGCUCCUCGCUCUAUCUGGAGUUGGUGGAGACAUCCUUGAAAGGUGAGAUCACGUUUGACCCCCGCUGCGCCUACUACCUGUGGUUCGUCAUGGACUUCUGCGAUGGUGGAGACAUGAAUGCCUAUCUACUGUCCCGCAAACCCAGCCGCAAGACUAACACCAGCUUCAUGCUGCAACUGGGCAGCGCUCUUGCCUUCCUGCAUCGCAACCAGAUCAUCCACCGAGACCUCAAACCCGACAACAUUCUCAUCUCGCAGGGCCGCACCCCAGCCGGGUCCCCCGAACCCACCCUGAAAGUGGCUGACUUUGGCCUCAGCAAGGUCUGCUCCUGUUCGGGCCUGAACCCAGAAGAACCAGCCAGCGUCAACAAGUGUUUCUUGUCCACAGCUUGUGGAACGGACUUCUACAUGGCCCCUGAAGUCUGGGAGGGCCACUACACUGCCAAGGCUGACAUUUUUGCUUUGGGGGUGAUCAUAUGGGCCAUGGUGGAACGGAUAACGUUUGUGGAUGUAGAGACUCAGAAGGAGCUUUUAGGGAGCUAUGUACAGCAGGGGGAGGAUAUUGUCCCCUUGGGGGAGGCUCUGCUGGAGAAUCCCAAGAUGGAGCUCCUCAUCCCAGCCCGGAAGAAAAGCAUGAAUGCUGGCAUGAAGCAGCUGAUUCGAGAGAUGCUUUCCGCCAAUCCACAGGAGCGACCAGAUGCUGUUGAGCUGGAGCUCAGGCUGGUUCGGAUCGCAUGCAGGGAACUUGAUUGGGAUACGUGAAAGGAAAGCAUCUUGGACAUGGGGUAAACUUUUGGAAAAACAGGCUCUGAGCUUGAAGUGAAGGGAAAUGCGUACAGGGAGUGUGAACGGAUAAAAACUUUGAUGCCAACACACACACAACCAUAAGCCUCUGUGAGUCAGGGAUCUCACGUCUUUGACACACGAUACCAGCGAGCUGAAUUUGAUCUCCACUUCACUGUGUCAUUUCUGCCUGGAAUCCCAGAGUGCUGAAUCUUACCGGUAAUCCCUUCCGCCACGCUCAUGACAGACUAACUCUAAGCCUGUUACGUUUCUGAGGUAUUAGGCUAAGAAAGCAUUCUCUGGGACAGAAACUGCCAUUCAGGUCAACGUUUUGUACAAUUUUACAGGCAAUUCAGACAUGAGUCCUCGUGGUAGUAGUACCUCUGUCCCUUUAAACGCACAGCACGUCUUUUUCCUAAGUGACAAGCAAAAGCAUUAAUAUUUAAUGCUGUGUGUAUCCAUAUAUUUUUCACCUUGUCAAGUGGGGUAUGAUGUAAAUGCCAGAACCAGCAAAAUAUUAAUUCAGAGCAAUGGCUUAAAUCAUCCCUCUCAAAGUGUUUUUUUUCCCCUUUUGUGGAAGCUUCUCUUCCAACUGUGGUAUUAUGCGAUAAUCCACAUUAUCGCAAGAAUAAAGGAUAAAAGGAUUAUUUUCACAGAGCCACUACUUCAUAAUCACCCAAAUAUUGUUUAAUCUUCCUUUUUUCUUUUAGAUUACCAUAAUUUAUGCCUUAUUUUUUAAAUCCUAUUGCCCUUAUGAGCACUUGAUUCGGCUGUGUGUUUCCUGGAGUUCUCUCAAAGGACAGGGCUACAUUUGCCUCACAAACACUUGGUUGUGUUGGUUAGAAAGGAUUGAAAAGUGAAAGUGUUGCUAUUUGUCAGUAUUAAUAAAAGAACUUCAUGGAUAUGUGUCCACUGAAUUGUGCAUCCGUGAAGCCGACAUGCAGACGAAUGUCACUUGUCACAUGCAGACGAAUGUAAGCUCGUUGUCCAAUAGAAACAUUGUGGGAAAAGAGCAAAUUAAAGGUGUGGUGCUGUCUUACGCUAUGUUCACACCGCAAUUGCGUGUCUUAAACCUGAUUCAAGAUGGAUCUGUUUUUGGUUAAGUGUGAGCAGCAAAAAUCCCAUUUAAUCUGUUUUUUUGUUUUUUUUUUUUUUUUCCACUUUUGUAUUAUUCCGAUACACAUCUCAUUUUAUUGACCCGUGUCUGGUUUAAAAUAUAUGGUGCCCAAAAAAUAUUUGGACAUUUAAUUUACACUUAAAGGGUUAG